rnacentral:misc_RNA from 1 species
UUCACAUUUUUAGUGAACAAAUAUGAUAAAAUGUCAUGUAAAAUAAAUUUAGUGCACUAACACGAAUGGUGAUGAAGUACUCUUCAUUUUUGAAGUCGGUUAAAAGUGUAAUUUUUGAUAGUCAUUUUUGUGACGUAUCUAUAUAUGAAGUCAUUAGUUAGUCAGUUUUAACUGAGGUUUGUACGGUAUUUCCGGAUGCCAUUUUCACACAGAUCAAAGGCUCUCUAAUUACUCACAUUUCAUUAUUUUAAUAUGACCUGGUGUCUAUUUGAUCAAGUGUAUUAUUAUUUCUCUAUACGGAAGUGUAUUAACAUCCUUAAGUGAAUAAUAUGUUGUAUGUGUAAUAGUAACAUUAUCAGUUUUUAAGUGUUACCGAACAGAAUGAUACCGCUAAGGAAAAUAACCCAUCGCACUUGUUUUGUCAUCAGCAGAACUGUUUAUAUGACAUGCUGCUGCGGGUGCUGCUCCGCCCUGCGGCCCAGGUACAAACGACUAGUCGACAAUAUAUUCCCCGCGUCCCCGCAAGAUGGUCUCGUCAAAACCAAUAUGGAGAAACUCACCUUCUACUCUCUGUCCAGCCCGGAGAAAUUGGAUAGAAUUGGCGAAUAUCUGUUCCAGAAGGCGUCCAGGGAUAUCUACAGGAGAAGACAUGGGUUCGUGAUAAUAGCUAUGGAGGCGAUGGACCAGCUGCUGCUCGCGUGCCAUGCCCAGACCCUGAACCUGUUCGUGGAGUCGUUCCUCAAGAUGGUGCAGAAGUUGCUGGAGUCCACAGACCCUCAACUGCAGACAUUGGCUACUCAAAGUUUCGUUCGUUUCGCGAACAUAGAAGAGGACACGCCGUCGUACCACCGGCGGUACGACUUCUUCGUAUCAAAGUUUUCAGCUAUGUGUCAUAGCAACCACGGGGAUAUCGCUACUAGGGACAAGAUCCGACUGGCGGGCAUUCAAGGACUGCAGGGUGUAAUAAGAAAAACUGUGUCAGACGACCUGGUGGAAAAUAUAUGGGAAGCGCAGCAUAUGGACAAGAUUGUACCAUCGCUUUUGUACAAUAUGCAGACCGCUGAGAAAUACGAAACGGUAUCGUGCAUGGACACAGACGGCAGGGAUCCAGGAGUCGAAGACGAACCCCCGCGGCUGGCGGAGGCGUGCCUCAGGGAGCUGGUGGGUCGAGCUGGAUUCGGACACAUUAGGAGUGUACUACGACCAGUUCUCACACAUUUCGACCGACACGAGCUGUGGGUACCGAACGAAUUCGCCGUCCACACGUUCAAGAUCAUCAUGUUCUCGAUUCAGGCUCAAUAUUCGUACAGCGUUGUGGAAGCCCUGAUGCAGCACCUGGACGCGGCGGGCCCCGGGUCCGCGGACCCCAAGGCCAGGACCAGGGUCCGGGCGGCCAGGGCGGCCGUGCUCAGCAAUAUUGUGGCCAUAGCCGCUGGAGAUAGCGUUGGGCCUUCAGUGUUGGAGAUUAUCAACAACCUAUUGACAAAUUUGAGAGCCUCUGUGGCCAGAGAUUCUGAGAAAGAAACUGACGAGAAGUUAUACCAAGAGGCUUUAAUCAACGCGUUGGGAGAGUUCGCAGACCAUCUACCUGAUUUCCAGAAGAUUGAUAUCAUGAUGUUUAUCAUUAGCAAGGUGCCCAGUGGGGGGAAGGGCACCAGGGCUGAUGCAAUGCUGCAGAGUAUAUUGCUCAAGUCUUUGUUGAAAGUGGGCACUACAUACAAAACGACAGAAUUGAGCAAGGCAUUCCCGGCCGCGUUCCUAGAGGCCCUGCUGCGAGUGUCAGCUAGCAGUGAACCAUCGUCACGAGCGUUACUGCAACGAAUACUCCACACUCUGCUCGACAGGAGACAGAACGCGGAUCGAUUGAGGAUGACGGUGGAGUAUGAACAAUUGGGAAUAUCAGUUGAGAAAUGUUCCCGUCAAGAUUUGAUCUUUAUCAGCAAACACGGAUACGCCAUCUUCAGCUCUCUUUACGAUGGUUUACAACUGGAGUCCAAUACUAAAGAGAAUAUAGAAGCUAUAUACAUGACCCUGGCUCUGCUCAUAAUCGAGUUGGCCUCAGAGGAAACCCUGUGUGACGUGUUGCAGCUCAUCAUGGCCAUCCAGCAGUCGUCGAUCUCCAACCCGGUGCUGUCCGUGGCGCAGCAGUGCCAGCUGCAGGCCCUGUGCGUGUCGCUGGCGGCGCUGUUGCCGCACGUCAUGAUGCUGCCGCCUCUAGCCGACUACAUACAUAAGAUUAUCUCAGCCCGUCGCGAGGAAGCCCCUCACCUGUUGCCCCCAGCUCCUAGAGACGGAGAUCACAUUCCCUCGGCUGCUAUGCCGGGGAAAUUGCCAUACCUUAUGAUUGACCAGAUGGCGCUAUGCGAAUGCCUGAAAUCGUGCGGGGUAGACUCGUCCCGUUUGCAGUCCCCGUCGCCGUACGCGGCCGGCCACACUGCCGCCGUCGCGCACCGCCACAGCUGGGUCGAAGCUGGAGCCGCGGCGGGUCGCGAUAGCUUGGCAGACAUCACAGCCGGCCCCGUGACUGAACUGGACAGCAACAACAGUUCGCCCACUGUGCAGAGGCAUCCAAUGCAAAGUGAGAGCGUCUCUUUGGAAGCUUUACGCCGAGCCGCCACCGGCCCCACCGAUGCGGAGAGGAGAGAAGCGGAAAGGAAGAAGGCUACCCUCAACUACGCUUUCAGAACGGCGCCAUUCCAACAUUUGGUGGCUAUGACACAGCCCAAGUACGAGCUCAAAGACAAACUGGAGGAGAUCUUCAGCAGCAUAUCGUCGGAGCCGCUCCUCCCCGCGUCAGGUGCGUGCUCCCCCAGCGCCCAGGGCAAGUCCUACCAGCACCACGUGCCGCCCUACACCAAGUACUGCCCGGACCUGUUCCUCUACUAGCUGAACGCAAUAUCAAAUUAUCGACAUGGAAUGCUAUAAUUUUGGGAGACGAAAAUAUUGGAGUUUCUAAGGUGGAGGAA